rfam:Myotis brandtii contig273258, whole genome shotgun sequence.
GGCGGUUCUCAGGUGACGCACCCCGGAAUCAGGCUCCCUCCUCUCUGGUUCCGGGUGCAUCACCUGAGAACUGCA